rnacentral:lncRNA from 10 species
GCAGGCCUGUGACCCACGUGGCCUCCAACAGGGUCCCUGUUUAUCGCGCUGUCGUGGUCGUGGGGUUUGAGGAAGAAAGCCCAGCGCUGGCGCCAUUUGGUCUCCCAUCCAAGUUCUAACCGGGUCCGACCCUGCUUAGCUUCCGAGAUCAGAUGAGCUCGUAGGCGUUCGGGGGGCAUGGCCGUAGACUUUGGCCACUUGGUACCACGGUGGGCUGAGGGGCUGCGGGUGGGAAGGCGAUUUGAGGAGCACAUUUGCAGGCAGCAGACUGUGGCUUCCAGAACCGACUGUGCCCGAGGAUAAGGCCUGAACUUCAACAACCUGCAAGUGGGUUGAGCAACCCGUUUCACCGUUGAGGAGACAGAGCGCUGGCCCAGCCUGGACCCGGAGCUGAGGCUCCUGCAGUUGGCCAGAUGAGACCCUGACGUGGAAACAAAUCUCUCGGGCACAGGCACACUUCAGGGAGCACAGGAGAGGAGGCUUCGAGACCCACAUGUGUCCUGUGGCUGCUCCACCCACACCGGGGUCUGACCCCAGCGGAUCAGCAGAGAGAGCGGCCCAGAGCAGGAGGCCCAGCCCAGGGCAGCUGGGGUCUGCAGGGCUCCCCUCCAGAGGCCGCACCUCAGACCUUGGCAGCAGCCCCCAGCUCUGUGGAUCCUCCAGGAGAUUUUCCCAAGCUCCAGCCCCAACCCUUUAAUUCACACUGGGAAGAGCCUCAAAGAACCCGGCAGGGACGGAGCUCCCCCGACCCUCUGGGCAAAGAUCAACUUGGUUAAAAGGGCCUCCAGCUGAAACCCAUCUCCUGGGGAAAUGUAUUAAAACAGAAACUCUGCUAGGAAGAUUGUUUUGCUCAGACGUUCUUCUCCUCCUGGGUUUCUGCUUUUACAAUCUUGACCUGAACUAAAUUUAAUGCAGAAACCUUCACUGGUUGCUGGGAGAGCAGAGUGGAGGUUUAAGUGAGAAAACUAAUUUCAAAGAACUGUAGGGGAAGGAAAACUUUUCCUCUACUCUCUCACCUUCAGUGGCUGGGGGCCUGUGAGUUAAACGGAUGAAAGUUAUUAACAGGAAGAAAUUGGCUGGGUACCGUAGCUCAUACCUAUAAUCCCA